rnacentral:rRNA from 1 species
CGGAAUCUACUCUUUCGUGGGGGAUAACGUAGGGAAACUUACGCUAAUACCGCAUACGACCUACGGGUGAAAGCCGGGGACCUUCGGGCCUGGCGCGAAUGAAUGAGCCGAUGCCCGAUUAGCUAGUUGGCGGGGUAAGAGCCCACCAAGGCGACGAUCGGUAGCUGGUCUGAGAGGAUGGUCAGCCACACUGGAACUGAGACACGGUCCAGACUCCUACGGGAGGCAGCAGUGGGGAAUAUUGGACAAUGGGCGCGAGCCUGAUCCAGCCAUACCGCGUGGGUGAAGAAGGCCUUCGGGUUGUAAAGCCCUUUUGUUGGGAAAGAAAAGCAGCCGGUUAAUACCCGGUUGUUCUGACGGUACCCAAAGAAUAAGCACCGGCUAACUUCGUGCCAGCAGCCGCGGUAAUACGAAGGGUGCAAGCGUUACUCGGAAUUACUGGGCGUAAAGCGUGCGUAGGUGGUUGUUUAAGUCUGUCGUGAAAGCCCUGGGCUCAACCUGGGAAUUGCGAUGGAAACUGGGCGACUAGAGUGUGGCAGAGGAUAGUGGAAUUCCUGGU